UAGAGUAUCGCCAAGAGGUAAGGCAUCAAAAUUUGAGUUUGAUAUUCAUUGGUUCGAAUCCAAUUACUCUAG